AUCGCUUCUCGUCCUUUUGGCUAAGAUCAAGUGUAGUAUCUGUUCUUAUCAGUUUAAUAUCUGAUACUUCCUCUAUCCGAGGACAAUUAUUUUAGAUGGAUUUUUGGAGCAGGGAGAUGAAAUAGGAGCUUGCUCUGUCCACUCCACGCAUGGACCUGGUAUUGCAGUACCUCCAGGAAUGGGGCUCCCUCU
ensembl:snRNA U2 U2 spliceosomal RNA